UGUGCUAAGUGGGGAGCUAGCGGUGCCCUUCGCCCGCAAUCCGCUACAGCGGGGCUGAAGACUUCCCCAGGCUCGGACACGAGGUCUCUAUCCUGGCAAGAAAGCGUUGACGGUUGGGUCCCGUGCAGCAGAGACUUGUGAAACCCGCCAGGUCCGGAAGGAAGCAACGGUAAGCAGACCACUCUGGGUGCCGCGGGAGUGCCUAACCCGAGCCAUAUUGAUAGGACAAAUCUGGUAGACGUUGUCGAAGGAAGAUGCAC
rnacentral:SRP_RNA from 1 species